rnacentral:tRNA from 1 species
UCUCUCGUAGCUUAGUGGUCAGAGUAUUGUUGCGUAAAACCAAAGGUCCUAGGUUCGAUUCCCGGCGGGGGUG